AACGCGAAGAACCUUACCAAGGCUUGACAUGGGCCGGACCGGGCUGGAAACAGUCCUUCCCCUUUGGGGCCGGUUCACAGGUGGUGCAUGGUUGUCGUCAGCUCGUGUCGUGAGAUGUUGGGUUAAGUCCCGCAACGAGCGCAACCCUCGUUCCAUGUUGCCAGCGCGUAAUGGCGGGGACUCAUGGGAGACUGCCGGGGUCAACUCGGAGGAAGGUGGGGACGACGUCAAAUCAUCAUGCCCCUUAUGUCUUGGGCUUCACGCAUGCUACAAUGGCCGGUACAAAGGGUUGCGAUACUGUGAGGUGGAGCUAAUCCCAAAAAGCCGGUCUCAGUUCGGAUUGGGGUCUGCAACUCGACCCCAUGAAGUCGGAGUCGCUAGUAAUCGCAGAUCAGCAACGCUGCGGUGAAUACGUUCCCGGGUCUUGUACACACCG
rnacentral:rRNA from 1 species